rnacentral:rRNA from 1 species
CAAAUAUCCUCAUAAGUUAGACGAUAAGAGGUACCAUCUUUUGAAUGAAGUUUAAAGUUUUAACUUUAAGUUUAUUUUUUUAAACUUAUUGCUUAACUACAAAUUUCUAAUAAUAGAUGGUGGCACAAAAUCGGAGGCCCCGACUGUUUACUAAAAACACAACACAGUGCAAUCAUAAAUGUGAUAGUAUACUGUGUGAAAUUUGCCCAAUGCCAUUAAUAUAAAAGCGGUCAUUAACCACAGUGACUAAUUGAAAAUCUGGUUAAUAGCGGUCUUAACCAUGAGGAUCCUAAGGUAGCAAAAUAAAUUGGCCAUUAAAUGUGGUCCGGUAUCAAUAAUGUAACGAUGGCCUCACUGUCUCUACAACUUGCUCAGUGAAAUUGAAUUACGCGUGCAGAUGCGCGUUACCUCCAGUGGGACGGGAAGACCCUAUGC